GUAACUUGGGAUAAAUGGGAGAGCAGUGCCAUUGACGGUUCAUGGUACCAGAGGAGGCCAGGGAGUGAGAACAGAUAAUGUGGGCCGCAAGGACCAGGACCCACUCUUCCCCUGAAGCAAGUUGCCAGGAUAGAAAGCCGGGAGGAGGAGCUGAUCUCUGAGUGGGGAGGGAGUCUGUUCAUGUAAUCCUGCCCCACAGAGAUCAGCAAAGGGCCUUCUAUAGAGGGCCAAAUAGCAAAUAUUUUUGGCUCUUUGGGCUACACGGUCUCUGCUGCAAUUUCAAAGGCUGCAGGGGUAAGGUGACUGCAGCUACAGACAAUACUUAAUGAAGGAUGUGCCUGUGUUGCAAUGAAACUUUGUGUAUGAGCACUUAAAUUUGAAGUUUAUGUAAUGUUUACGUGUCACAAAAUAUUAUUCUUCUUUUGACUUUUUCCCACCCAUUUAAAAAUGUAAAACGCCUUCUUAUCUCACAAGCCACUCAAAAGCACAAGGUGGCCUAGUUGUGCAUGCAGGCCACUGUUUGCCAGCCCCUCCUUUGACAGAUACUUACCGAGUUUCUACUAUGCACCAGGCACUCGGCCAGGCUUUAGGGACACACGAGCACCGUCUGCAGGGACUCACAGAAUGGCACAGGAGUGAGACACAGAAACAAGCAACUGGUUACAUGUGAGCCAAGCUCGGGGCCUCAUGAAUGACUGAAUGAACUAAAUAAAAGUCUUACAUCAAAAUAGCAAUGUAUGUAAAACAAGUUUGGAAUUUGGCCCCCCUGAGGGCUGCAUGGAAACAGAAGGUGCCAUUUCCAAGGCUGCCAGUGUACAUGACGUCCCCAGGAGCUGUGAGGUGGCCUGGGCGGGAGCCCCGAGGAGGACUAUGAAUCCAUCCUGAGGGAGGACUGAAAGGCCUCAAAGAGGAGAAGCUAUUUGAGCUGAAUCUUGAAAGCUGAGUAGGAAUUUUGUCAGGCAAAUAGAGCAGGAUGAGGCCUUCCCUGAGAAGAAACCGCAUGAAGGAAAGCUGUGGGUGCAUAUGGAAUAAAGCAGGCAGAUCUGGUGGAGCCCCAAGUGUGGCAGUGUGAGCUACAGAAAAGGAGGAGGGGAAAGGGGCCUAGAGACGAAAUGACGAGGGACCUUGCGGGCUGUGCCAAGUCAUUUGCAUAUCAUUCAAAACCUGCGCUCUCCAGUAUGAUAGGCAUGAGCCACAUCCGGGUAUUCAAAUUAAGUAAAAUUAAAAACUCUGUUCCACAGUCACCCUAGCUACAUUUCAGGUGCUCAGUAGCCGCGUGGUUAAUGGUUGCCAUGUUGGACAUGGCUGCUGUCACGGAAAGGUCUUUGGGCUUGCUGCUCUAGACUCUCAAGAGCCUUGGGGGGUUUGAGCAGAGGAGAGAGAAGGCCGCCUUUUCAUUUUAGAAAUGUCACACCCAAGUGCACCGGGUGCUUUGGAACACAGGGACUAGUGCAAUGGGCCAAAUGUCCCAUUUAGACCAUGUGAACACAGGCAGUGUCCAUGAGAAAGGGAAAAAGGGACAUAUUCAAGAGACACUUGAAUGGUAGAACCUGGUGACACCUGUGGUGCAAACUUCUGGACUGAGCCUGAGUGACUUCUGCAACCUCAGUAAAGCAGCAGGCGAAUCAGCUGCUGGGAUUGGGUAGUAGACUUGAACCAGCCGUUUGUCUCCUCCAGAGCUGCUACCUUGCUAUACAACAAAGAGGAAAUAAACAUAAAUUGAAUAACAGAAAAUCACCUGUGAGUUUGGGAAACUCUCCGUUCCUGAAGGACAAGGAACAAAGUCCUCUUCCCUGAGGAACACUGACAAAGCCAUUUUAUGAAGACAACAUGAAAAUAGCACAUGUGAGAGCAAAGACUUGGAGAAGACUGUGGAAGGUCCUGGAAGGGGAGUUGUUUAUUCCUGGCAUCCACUCUUACAUCUUGGAAAGUACCACUCUUAUACCUCCUGCCUCAGUCCCGAAGUGUUAAAAAUCCCCUCUCUGACCCUGCCCUGGUAGCUGCCAUACCUCAGGGCCAAAGUGACAUGACAUACUCACUGCACUCCCUAGCCCCAGCCCCCUCGUCUAGAUAAACUCUCAGAAUUUCCUUCCCAAACCAUCCUGAGCGCACUUCCAGGGCCUGCAUUGAACCCUUCUCUGGGUCUACCCUCCUAAGGACAGGUUUCCCCAUGAACAAAUGCUCUCAAAACCCAAGGGGAGGCCAACGGGUAACAUGUGGACAUACAGGCUAGGGUGUCUGCACAUGUGUGCACAGGUCCCUUGCAAUGCAGAGCAGAGCCAGGCCACAAAGAAGGGUGGGUGGGGUCUGAGCAGGCACUUCCUGGGCUGCUGUGUCCCUGUACAAGAUCCUGAGAUGUCCCAGCAUUCUCCAUUUGAACCUGACCUUCUUGGUUGUUAUGAAACUCUAGGUGUCACGGUCAGAGUAUUACAAUUUACUUUAUUAAGGAGUUCACCAGCUUGAUGUAUACAUUUUGAAGAUACAGACAUGUGGCCUGUAGGCUUCCAUGUCUUCUCUUGGCCCAGGCCCUAUAAGUGUGAGGGGUGGGCUUCCUCUAGGUGGUGUCCCUCUCUUCCACAUGCCACCUCUGGGGAGCAGUGUUCAAAAUGUCCUUCUCCCUUGUAUACCUAAGGAGUAGACCAACUCAUCCUUGAUUUGCAAAAAUGUGUGUUUAUUCCUAGCGGCGAAAAUCCAAUAGCUAAGCCACUAGUACCCAAGUUAACUGAACUGGGCAAGAGAACCAAGGCUUUCCAGGAGGACUCAACAACUCAGUUGUCUCCUGCACAUGUUCAAAGCUCUAGAGGAAGAUCCAUGUGGAAAGCACCUGUUGGCUGGGAGCUCAAAGCAUUUUCCUUUUCUGUCCCUAGACAACCUGUCCACUGUCCUGGGGGAAACUGGAGCACAUCUCUCUGUCAAGGAUGGAGUGAGCUUCCCAUAAAUGCUGUUAACCAUCUCCAUUUUUCAUGAGUCAACUGGCCAGAGAGGGUUGUCCUGACCAACAAGAGGAACAGAUUGAUUCCAGCAGCUGUCAGCGUCCAGAGGACACAGCAUUCUUUGGACCUGUUACCAAACCAGCCAGCACUUACACAGCAACUGAUCCUUGAGAGACGUGUUUAAGGUCACACAAGACACUGGCAGUGACAGGAAGGAAGAGAGGGAGCUGGCUGCAUUGUCUUCAGCCAGCAGACAGACUGUGCCAAAUUUCUCCUGUGUCCUAGUCAAGCAUCCCUUUUGAAGCACCAUGCUGCCUAACACUACCUCUGCUCUGAGAAAUGCUGGCAUUAGACAUGUCAGUUAAAGUUUCUGGAUUGUAUUAAUAUUAAAUUAUCAUUUAUCAAGCACUUAU